GCCAUCAGUAGCUCUGUUGGUUAGAGCGUGGGGCUGAUAAUGCCAAGGUUGCAGGUUUGAUCCCCGUAUAGGGCA
rnacentral:tRNA from 1 species